rnacentral:rRNA from 1 species
AGUGAACGCUGGCGGUAGGCCUAACACAUGCAAGUCGAACGGCAGCACAGUAAGAGCUUGCUCUUACGGGUGGCGAGUGGCGGACGGGUGAGGAAUACAUCGGAAUCUACUUUUUCGUGGGGGAUAACGUAGGGAAACUUACGCUAAUACCGCAUACGACCUACGGGUGAAAGCAGGGGAUCUUCGGACCUUGCGCGAUUGAAUGAGCCGAUGUCGGAUUAGCUAGUUGGCGGGGUAAAGGCCCACCAAGGCGACGAUCCGUAGCUGGUCUGAGAGGAUGAUCAGCCACACUGGAACCGAGACACGGUCCAGACUCCUACGGGAGGCAGCAGUGGGGAAUAUUGGACAAUGGGCGCAAGCCUGAUCCAGCCAUACCGCGUGGGUGAAGAAGGCCUUCGGGUUGUAAAGCCCUUUUGCUGGGAAAGAAAAGCAGCAGGUUAAUACCCCGCUGUUCUGACGGUACCCAAAGAAUAAGCACCGGCUAACUUCGUG